GACGAACGCUGGCGGCGUGCCUAAUACAUGCAAGUUGAGCGCUGAAGGUUGGUACUUGUACCAACUGGAUGAGCAGCGAACGGGUGAGUAACGCGUGGGGAAUCUGCCUUUGAGCGGGGGACAACAUUUGGAAACGAAUGCUAAUACCGCAUAAAAACUUUAAACACAAGUUUUAAGUUUGAAAGAUGCAAUUGCAUCACUCAAAGAUGAUCCCGCGUUGUAUUAGCUAGUUGGUGAGGUAAAGGCUCACCAAGGCGAUGAUACAUAGCCGACCUGAGAGGGUGAUAGGCCACAUUGGGGGUGAGACACGGCCCAAACUCCUACGGGAGGCAGCAGUAGGGAAUCUUCGGCAAUGGACGAAAGUCUGACCGAGCAACGCCGCGUGAGUGAAGAAGGUUUUCGGAUCGUAAAACUCUGUUGGUAGAGAAGAACGGUGGUGGGAGUGGAAAGCUCAUCAAGUGACGGUAACGAUCCAGAAAAGGACGGCUAACUACGU
rnacentral:rRNA from 1 species